rnacentral:ncRNA from 1 species
CAUUAAGGGGUGCUCCGGAUUUUUCCGUGGCUGAGAUUAUACCCAUAACCUGAUCCGGGUAAUGCCGGCGUAGGGAAAUGC